GACGAACGCUGGCGGCGUGGAUUAGGCAUGCAAGUCGAACGGUAUCAUCCUUUCGGGGGUGAGAGAGUGGCGAACUGGUGAGUAACACGUAGGUUAUCUACCCUCAAGACGGGGACAACCCAGGGAAACUUGGGCUAAUACCGGAUGUGAGCAACUUUUAGUUGUUUGAAAGGUGGCGUAAGCUGUCGCUUGGGGAUGAGCCUGCGUCCUAUUAGUUAGUUGGUGAGGUAACGGCUCACCUAGGCAAUGAUAGGUAGGCGGCCUUAACGGGUGGUCGCCCACACUGGGAUUGAGAUACGGCCCAGACUCCUACGGGAGGCAGCAGUCGAGAAUAGUCUACAAUGGUCGGAAGACUGAUAGUGCGACGCCGCGUGAACGAUGAAUCCCUUCGGGGUGUAAAGUUCUUUUAUAUGUGAGCAGUGCUUUCUUAUAUUAACAGUAUGGGGAGAGAGAUAUUAGCAUAUGAAUAAGCAACGGCUAACUCCGUGCCAGCAGCCGCGGUAAACUCG
rnacentral:rRNA from 1 species